CGUAAAACAAUUCAAGAUCUGGCCG
rnacentral:rasiRNA from 1 species